rnacentral:rRNA from 1 species
AUACGUAGGGUGCUAGCGUUGUUCGGAAUUAUUGGGCGUAAAGCGGGUGUAGGUGGUUUGGUAAGUCAGAUGUGAAAGCCCUCGGCUCAACCGAGGAAGUGCAUCUGAAACUACUAAGCUAGAGGACGGCAGAGGGAGGUGGAAUUCCUAGUGUAGAGGUGAAAUUCGUAGAUAUUAGGAGGAAUACCUGUGGCGAAGGCGGCCUCCUGGACCGUUCCUGACACUGAGAUCCGAAAGCGUGGGUAGCAAACAGGAUUAGAAACCCCGGUAGUCC